CCUACGGGAGGCAGCAGUGGGGAAUAUUGGGCAAUGGGCGCAAGCCUGACCCAGCAACGCCGCGUGAAGGAAGAAGGCUCUCGGGUUGUAAACUUCUUUUAUCAGGGACGAAGCAAGUGACGGUACCGGAUGAAUAAGCAACGGCUAACUACGGGCCAGCAGCCGCGGGAAUACGUAGGUGGCAAGCGUUAUCCGGAUUUACUGGGGGUAAAGGGCGUGUAGGCGGGAAAGCAAGUCAGAUGUGAAAACCAUGGGCUCAACCUGUGGCCUGCAUUUGAAACUGUUUUUCUUGAGUACUGGAGAGGCAGCCGGACUUCCUAGUGUAGCGGUGACCUGCGUAGAUAUUAGGCGGAACCCCAGUGGCGACGGCGGUCUGCUGGACAGCACCUGACGCUGAGGCGCGAAAGCGUGGGGAGCAAACAGGAUUAGAUACCCGUGUAGUC
rnacentral:rRNA from 1 species